rnacentral:rRNA from 1 species
UAAUACGGAGGGUGCGAGCGUUGUCCGGAAUCACUGGGCGUAAAGGGCGCGUAGGCGGCAUGCCAAGCGUGUGGUGAAAGCCCGGGGCUCAACCCCGGGUCGGCCGUGCGGACUGGCGUGCUUGAGCACUGUAGGGGCGGGUGGAAUUCCGGGUGUAGCGGUGGAAUGCGUAGAGAUCCGGA